rnacentral:miRNA from 1 species
UGAAAAACUUGGGUAGUGAGACG